AGCUUGGUAGCGCCCUUGUUUUGGGUACAGUCACGGGUUCCAAUCCUGUCAUCCCUACCUA
rnacentral:tRNA from 1 species